CUCGCCCUGCGCGCACAGGCGCGCACUCCCACUCGCGGCCGUGCACCCGCCGCGCGCUCUCCCGCCCGUGUCCUCCCUACCCGAGCGGCCGCCAGGAUGUGUCCCAGGCCCGGUCGCCGCCGCUCCCGCGCCAGUGCUCCUCGCCCUAGUGCGCCUUUUUUCAUUUCCUAAAUUUCUGAUUUUUGUCCUUGCAAGUGGCCCUGACUGGUGCGAAGCGUCAGCACAGAUGGCCUCCUGGAGCUUCCCGAGUGGUUCGCUGGGGGAAGCCGGCGGCGGGCGGCCGGCCAGGGGUGUUUCGAGGGCCGCGAGCUCCAGGCAGGGCUGGUGGCGGGGGUCCGCCUAGGGUAGGAAUCCCCGCCUGCUCCUUCGGACCCCGGCCUGGCGCGGUUCGCCGCGCUCGGCGGGCUGCCUUCCAUUCUAGAAUCUUCCCGCUUGCUUCCCAGCCUGCGCUCUCCUGCCCGCCUUUAAUUGUGUAAGUUUGACGAAGUCAGAGCUUUGGGUUUCAGGAAAAGCGCUGGAGAGUCUUAGAGGAAGGGAGGGCGCAGGUUGGGGUCAUCUCCAAACAGCCCCCAUCGCCACUUUUGGAAAAAAAAAAAAAAAAAAAAAGAAAAACCAAAACACCCUUAAGGUGUGGACGGGGGAGGAUCUCCUAAGUCCCUCCAACGAAGGCAAGUGUGAGGCUCUGGCCCUUUAUUUGUAAGAAGCAAGCCUUCAGAUUGCAGAAGUGUCGCGCGGGUCGCCGUGUCAUGCGCGAGUGGGAAGAUGGAGGAGGCUGGCACGGCGCUUCCGUGGACGGAAGUGAACCGGGCAUGAAGGCAGGGUGCGAACUCUGCCCUUGGCCCAGCCCUGCGUGGGCGUUGUGCCAGGUUCCGGGCGGCGAGGGGUGCAGAGAACCGGAGAGUUGCGGGCUCCCCAGCGCAGGCUGUGCUCUGGGAUUUCGUUGGAAGAUCCGGCAAAGCCUUGGAGGAGAGGGCCCGGGAGGCUGUGUGUGCAGCGGAAACCUGUGCGAAUGUCCCCACAGCUGAAAUGGUGCGCACGAGUAAUUUCUGCGACGCACCCUUUUUAAAAUUGGCCUAAGUGAACAAGAUCAAUUUUUUAUUUCAAAGCAAAGGUAGAAAACAAAAGGCAUUCGACUUCUUGACUGGUUGUUCCUCCCUGUUUUCCUUCCCUGCACUCAGAUCAGAAACUUUUCUUUAAUUGCUCUUAUUCAGUGCGGCAACUUUGAGUAGAAGCGCUUGUAUCGUAAGCCUGAGUUGCAACCAUAGAUACAUUUCGAAGUGACAACGUGUCCGUGGACUAUUUUCGCAGAUGAGGCAGGAUGUGCGCUCUGGUCGUGCCCAUACUAAAGGGACGCUGGGAAGUGUGCCUGUGCGGGGCAGACUCGGAGGGAGUGGGCACACGCGCGUCACCACAUGACCACUGUCUAUUAAUAUUGUCAUACCUAAACACUCGGAAAAACAAAAGUUGCUUUUCUUCCCUGUAAUUAAAUCUAAUUUGUUAAUUGUCUUUCCUCUUGCAAUGUUGUUUUCAUCUUAAGAGGUGACACAUUAUUAUUUUGUCUGUCUAAUAUUAUUUACAAAUUAAUGCUGUAUAUUUUACAUUAGUGAAACAUAUAAUUAGGCGUUUGGUUCAAUCUGUAUCAUUUAUUCAAAUAAAACAAAGCCUAUCUGCAAGAUUGAUUGGAAGUUGAAUAGCUUGUUCUAAUUUACCAUCACAGUCACAGUUUAAAGCUACCUGGCUCCAGAUUCACAGAAGCUAGCUUUACCUAAGGUGUAUUUGACGCUUUGUUUGCAAGUGUUUAUUUUCCCCAACCACUUAGUGAAAAAAAAAAAAGUAUUCAAAUAUGAGGCCUUUCAUUUUCUGUCUUCUUUCACUCCUGCCCCCGACCCAAAGUUCCUUUCUUCUAUUAUCUGGCCACCUCUCUCCCUCUCUCUGGUUCCUCCCCAACCCCCAACUUUUGUUUUAGGUUCUUAGGGUUAAAUCCAGCAUGAUUUUGUGCCUUUAAUGCUGUGACAAGUGACUGCUAAUUGGUUCUCACUUGAGCAAAGAUAUUACCAUACUAAUAUUAUUAUUGGUAAGAAGAGGUAAUUGAUAACACCACCUGCCACUCUGGGGCAAUCAGGAUGAUAAAUGUUUCCAUCAACAGGAAAUCUGUGCUUGGUGUGCCACAGCCCAACGCAAACAGCAUGUCAAGUGCCAAUUAUAAAGACGUUGCUUUUUCUAUUACAUUGGGGGGGGCUAGAAAACAUGUAGCCAAAAAUUAUAUUUAUGGAUUUUUGAAAACGCUUUUUCCAAUCCUGUGUUCACCUACUUGAAGAUGACUUUCCCCAUAAAAAUAAAAUGCUCUAGGUAAAUAAACCAGCACAUUGCUAACUGCCCUGUCCAUACUGGAUACAACUGCUGUGACGUCCUUUGCUUUCAGAGCUAUGGAGAUAAAUACCCCUAAAUAUUUUUAACAGA